AACAAAUGAAUUCCACAAAAUUUUGUGCGUGUUUUCGUGUUUGGAACCAGGAAAAAAAAGCAGAAUUCAAUCCUGCAGAAUUUAACAUAAUCAAAUAAAUUCCAUCAAAAUAGAGGGAAUUGCCAAGUGAAUUCCAUAGAACUUAACUAACAUGUAUUAAAUCAUGUUCAUGGCAUCAUAUAUGUAAAAUCUUGCUUAAUCCAAGUCUUGUUGAGAAAUAUUUAUGCCAUGUCAAAUUUUUUUUUUUUAAUGGCGGUUAUUGCUGAAACCAUUUGAGAUAUUUCUUUAUGUGUGUGCAAUACCGCCAAUGGCCAAGUUCCGAGAUUUAUACUAUCAUUUUUUUGGCUUUACAAUUUUUCCUGUGGAAUUCAUAUGAUUGCAAUUGCCAGAUUUUAG
rnacentral:misc_RNA from 1 species